AUUGAACGCUGGCGGCAGGCCUAACACAUGCAAGUCGAACGAGUGGCGGACGGGUGAGUAAUGUCUGGGAAACUGCCCGAUGGAGGGGGCUAACUACUGUAAACGGUAGCUAAUACCGCAUACCAUCGGAUGUGCCCAGAUGGGAUUAGCUAGUGGGUGGGGUAACGGCUCACCUAGGCGACGAUCCCUAGCUGGUCUGAGAGGAUGACCAGCCACACUGGAACUGAGACACGGUCCAGACUCCUACGGGAGGCAGCAGUGGGGAAGAUUGCACAAUGGGGGAAAGCCUGAUGCAGCCAUGCCGCGUGUAUGAAGAAGGCCUUCGGGUUGUAAAGUACUUUCGGCGAGGAAGCGUUACUCGCAGAAGAAGCACCGGCUAACUACGUGCCAGCAGCCGCGGUAAUAC
rnacentral:rRNA from 1 species